rnacentral:tRNA from 1 species
GUCCCCGUAGCGCAGUGGUUCAGCGCGACCGCCUUCUAAAUUACGUAAGCGGUAGGCCCAGAGUUCGAACCUCUGCUGGGAUU